UACGUAGGUGGCAAGCGUUGUCCGGAUUUACUGGGCGUAAAGGAUGCGUAGGCGGAUGUUUAAGUCAGGGGUGAAAUCCUGGAGCUCAACUCCAGAACUGCCUUUGAUACUGAGGAUCUUGAGUACGGGAGAGGUGAGUGGAACUGCGAGUGUAGAGGUGAAAUUCGUAGAUAUUCGCAAGAACACCAGUGGCGAAGGCGGCUCACUGGCCCGUAACUGACGCUGAGGCACGAAAGCGUGGGGAGCAAACAGG
rnacentral:rRNA from 1 species